GGAGAGAUGCAGGAGUGGUUGAACUGGCCCGCCUGGAAAGCGAGUAAACCCCUAAAGGGUUUCAGGGGUUCGAAUCCCCUUCUCUCCGCAA
rnacentral:tRNA from 1 species